rnacentral:rRNA from 1 species
GUCGUUAACAUGCCGUAUGGUCAGGGAUAACCACGGGAAACUGUGACUAACACCUGAUAGGGAGGGAGCGCUGGGAUGCGCCUUCCUUAAACUCGUGCCAUACGAUUGGACGGCGGCGGAUUAGGUAGUUGGCGGUGUAACGGACCACCAAGCCAAAGAUCCGUACGGGCCAUGAGAGUGGUAGCCCGGAGAGGGACACUGAGAAACUGGUCCCAGCCCUACGGGGUGCAGCAGGCGCGAAACCUUUACAAUGCACGCAAGUGUGAUAGGGGGAUCCCAAGUGCUUACACACAGUGUAGGCUUUUGCCAAGACCAAAUACCUUGGCGAAUAAGUGGUGGGCAAGACCGGUGCCAGCCGCCGCGGUAACACCGGCGCCACAAGUGGCCAUCGCGAUUAUUGGGCCUAAAGCGUCCGUAGCAGGACGAGCACAUCUCCGGUGAAAUCGUUGCGCUUAACGUAACGGAUUGCGGGAGACACGACUCGUCUAGGGACCGGGAGGGGUCAGAGGUAUUCAAGGGGGAGCGGUAAAAUGCGAUAAUCCCUUGAGGACCACCGACGGCGAAGGCAUCUGACCAGAACGGAUCCGACUGUGAGGGACGAAAGCCAGGGGAGCAAACCGGAUUAGAUACCCGAGUAGUCCUGGCCGUAAACGCUGUGAGCUAGGUGUUGCGCUUCCCAUUGGGACGCGCAGUGUCGAAACGAAGGUGAUAAGCUCACCGCCUGGGAAGUACGGUCGCAAGGCUGAAACUUUAAGGAAUUGGCGGGGGAGCACCACAAGGGGUGCGGCGUGCGGUUUAAUUUAACUCAACGCAGAGAAUCUUACUAGCGGCGACGGCAGGAUGACGGCCAGUCUGAAGGGCUUGCCCGACCGGCCAAGAGGUGUUGCAUGGCCGCCGUCAGCUCGUGCUGUAAAGUGUCCUCUUAAGUGAGGCAACGAGCGAGACCUGUACCCAUACUUGCCAACGAACUGUGUGAUCGGGCACUGUAUGGGGACUGCCUUGGAAACAAGGAGGAAGGUGCAGGCUACGGUAGGUCUGUAUGACCCGAAUCCGCUAGGCUACACGCGCGCAACAAUGGUAAGAACAAUGGGAUGCGACUCCGAAAGGAGAAGCCAAUCCUCCAAAUCCUACCUUAGUCCAGAUUGAGGGUUGUAACCCACCCUCAUGACGCCGGAAUCCCUAGUAAUCCGAUUUCAUCAUGGUCGGGUGAAUAUGUCCCUGCUCCUUGCACACACCGCCCGUCAAACCAACCGAGCAGGGUUUAGGUAAAACCCCACUAUCUUGGUGGGGCUGAAUCUAAGCUCAGUGAGGUGGGUUAAGUCGUCACAAGGUA